CCAGACUCCUACGGGAGGCAGCAGUGGGGAAUAUUGCACAAUGGGGGAAACCCUGAUGCAGCAACGCCGCGUGAGUGAAGAAGUAUUUCGGUAUGUAAAGCUCUAUCAGCAGGGAAGAAGAUGACGGUACCUGAUUAAGAAGCCCCGGCUAACUACGUGCCAGCAGCCGCGGUAAUACGUAGGGGGCAAGCGUUAUCCGGAUUUACUGGGUGUAAAGGGGGCGCAGACGGCAGCGCAAGCCAGGAGUGAAAGCCCGGGGCCCAACCCCGGGACUGCUCUUGGAACUGCGCGGCUGGAGUGCAGGAGGGGCAGGCGGAAUUCCUGGGGUAGCGGUGAAAUGCGUAGAUAUCAGGAGGAACACCGGUGGCGAAGGCGGCCUGCUGGACGAUGACUGACGUUGAGGCUCGAAAGCGUGGGGAGCAAACAGGAUUAGAUACCCGAGUA
rnacentral:rRNA from 1 species